rnacentral:rRNA from 1 species
GUGCCUAACACAUGGCAAGGUCAACUUGAGGGAAGGAGCAAUCUGACCUGAUGGUGGCGGCAAGGUGCGUAAGCGUAAGUAACUUGCCCAAGGUAAGGAAUAACGUCGAGAAAUCGGCGCUAAUACCUCAUAAUGCAGCGGAUCCGCAUGGAUAUGUUGUUAAAGGUUUACCGCCUUGGGAUAGGCUUGCGUCUGAUUAGCUAGUUGGUGUGGUAAUGGCACACCAAGGCUACGAUCAGUAACUGGUCUGAGAGGAUGAUCAGUCACACUGGAACUGAGACACGGUCCAGACUCCUACGGGAGGCAGCAGUGAGGAAUAUUGGGCAAUGCACGAAAGUGUGACCCAGCAACGCCGCGUGGAGGAUGAAGGUAUUCUAUAUCGUAAACUCCUGUGAGAGCAGACGAAAGACAGAUUAUUAAUUUGGAUGACUGUAUGCUCAGAGGAAGCCCCGGCUAACUACGUG